rfam:Triticum aestivum genome assembly, contig: Triticum_aestivum_CS42_TGACv1_scaffold_146178_2BS
UAGAUACUCCCUCCGUCCAGAAAUACUUAUCAUAGAAAUGACUAAAAAUGGGUGUAUCUAACACUAAAAUACGACUAGAUACGUCCAUUCCCCCGACAAGUAUUUCCGGUCGGGGGGAGUAUAAU